ACUGCGCAGCUCUGUUGCGCAUGAGCGGAAGCAGUGAAGAAAAGCUCAGACGAGAAGUUGAACGUGAUCUGUGUGGAGCUGUCGUGGCAGCCAGCAACCUCUCAACCUUAAUGCGCAGGUGCUGUGCGGUUCCUGCAGAUGAGCACACGCCUCAGCUGUGUGGACGUUUAAGAUUUUCUGAUGUGGUUUUGAUGUCUGCUGCCCUGAUAAGGAGGUAGCGGCACGGCACGGCCAUAUCUGUGGCUGCUCCCCCUCAUCUACGGGUUUUGGAGCCAGUUGAAAGAGGAAGGUUAGUAUGAAAUCUGUCAGUUUGGGUUACUAUAAUCCACAUUUUUGUGUCUAUUGUAAAUUAAUAAUUUAGCAAUAAAGAACAAUCCUUCCUCUAUC